GCCAGUGUACCGAAAGCAAAGGAGACGCUGACACUUUUCUUGCCUUCUUGCCACUUGGGCCUUCCAGCCAGAUCAGAAGAUUGAUGGCUAAAAGACCUUUGACAUCACUUCUAGAUUCUGUCCUCCUGGACCCACCUCUUCCACUUGCUCAGCCUCAUAACCUCCUCUACUUCCAUCUGGAGGCAAUCAGCAGAAGAUUCAAGUCUGAAAAGACAUUCUUCUUGAAUUGUGUGUUAUUUAUUUUGUUGUUUUGUCUACCAAUUACAAUCUUUACAAUUUC